UACUUGGGUGACUAAGGCAGGAUUGCUUGAGCCUGGGAGGUCGAGGCUGCAUUGUUGUGAUCACAGCUUACUGCAGACACGACCUCCCAGGCUCAAGCAAUCCUCCUGCCCGAGUG
ensembl:miRNA